AGGCUGCAGUCGAGAAUAUUUAGCAAUGGGCGAAAGCCUGACUAUGUGACGCCGCGUGAGGGAUGAAGGUCUUCGGAUUGUAAACCUCUUUCGAUGGGGAAGAAAACCUGCUCUUAACGGAGUAGACUGACGGUACCCAGAGAAGAAGCCACGGCCAACUCUGUGCCAGCAGCCGCGGUAAUACAGAGGUGGCAAGCGUUACUCGGAUUUAUUGGGUGUAAAGGGCAAGUAGGCGUCUCAACAAGUUAGAAGUGAAAUCCUGCAGCUCAACUGCAGAACUGCUUUUAAAACUGUUGGGAUUGAGACUGGAAGAGGAAAGCGGAAUUCUCGGUGUAAGAGUGAAAUCUGUAGAUAUCGAGAGGAACACCAGUGGCGAAGGCGGCUUUCUGGUCCAGUACUGACGCUGAAUUGCGAAAGCUAGGGGAGCAAACAGGAUUAGAUACCCCAGUAGUC
rnacentral:rRNA from 1 species